CUCCCGCUCCCUGCCGUCCGGGAGCCCUCGUCCAGCUGCCGCUGCCGCGGAGGGUUCGGGUCGGGCUGAUGUCAGAGGUCUGGAAUUCAGCUCUCAUUCGGCUCUGACAUCGCUGAGAGGUGAAUAAUGCCGCAGGUCAGAGCCGUAACCUCGGAGCGGGGCUGCGACUGGAAGUGGGUGAAGCGGCCGCGGUGGAGCGCUGCUCGAGGAGAGCGCUGCGAGGUGACCGGGAACGGCGGCCGCUGCUCAGCUGUGCGCAAAGCCCAGCGCUGCUCGCGGGAAGGGGCAUCAAGAGAACAGAUGAGUGGGGGCUUCCUAAAUAGUGCCUGACCAACCUCCGGGGGAGCUCCACGGAAAUUCGUGGGUUAUGCCAAGAGAACAGAUUGCUGCAGCCACGCCGUUUGAGCAGGGCUAUAAAAGAGCAUUAAGUGCCAAGUCUUCUAGGGGCAAACAGGAGGAAGAAGGCACCAUCUCCUUACAGCCCGAACCCACGAGGGAAGUGAUGGAAUCCAUUUGGGAAGCAGGACUUGGAUGCAUCCACCUCACCCCUCACUAUUCUCACCGACUAGAGUUGCACUGCACGGAUGUAAUAUACGAUACAGGAGAACGAAUCUGAGGACAACCAGCAUAGAAAUGUUCCUGCCAGCCUUGACCUAAAAGCAUCCCCAGACUGUAUUUGUUUGGACGGCUGGUGAAUAAUUAAAGGCUUUGCCUCGGCUUGUCCCACCACUCAGCACUCACUUGGGACAUCCUGCCCACGGCCGGAGGCUGCGCGAGGUCCUGCAGGGUAGAGCUGGGGUGGUCUUGGCCACUUCUCCCUGCUCCUCUCAUGUGUGUUUUGUUCAGGACUGGCUCUAAUUAAUUUUUAAAGAAUAUGAGCAUGGAUGAACCAGCUAAAUUUAUGUUCUAAGCACUCUUUCAUGUACGUUUCCCUGACAGUAUAAAUAAAGUCUGUGCCCCCUUCAUCCUUCAAACAAUAUUUUAACACAAAUGCAUAGCUAUUCAAAACUUAAAACUGCUAUUAAAUGCGAUUGUAUUUAUAGUGAUAAGAAUGUACCUAAGACCUAUUAAAGUACUAACACAACACAUAACUUACCAUCACAGAGAGCAUCAGAACCAAAAAGAAGUUACUAAAACAGAAGACUUCUCCUUCAGUGCAGGAGAUGAGCAGCUGCUGUGUGUAAUGGAUACCCACUGGGAGGGCACGCUGCUGAACAGAGCGCUGCUUUAGGAGGAAGAGCAUUUCCUGGGUAAUCGCUCAGAAAAUUAGCUCAUCUCAACUACAGCAGCUCUCCCCAGCCCCUGACCCGUUCAGACCUGGAAUCCUGUGACUUCCCUGCGCCUUUGUUUCAUACACAAUUCACACAAUUCCCACUGCAGGGUCGCAGUGCGACUUCAAGCAGAGAUGGUGAGAGCGGCGCAGGGCGCGCUGUGGCUUCCAGCAACGAGCAACAGGAAGAUUCUGAGCACGGCACGAAGCACAGCUUGUUUCCCAGUGAGAAAGGUUCAGACAAAGCUCUCAAGGUUGUUCCAGCUUACGGGGAGUUCAAGUCUGAGAAGAUGAGCAGCUAAUAAUCAGUUCAUAUUAAAAGUUCUGACCGCUCGAUGCUUCGUAACUUGUCAGGUAGAAAACGUCAUGAAAGAGGUGUAAAAAAAAAACCACGGGGUGACCAAUAUCCAACGGAGUGAAAGUUGUUACAAAAUAGUGCCUUUUUUGUCGGUGUUCGUUUUUUUCCAACAGCUGAAACGAUGCAAAGUGCUGCCGUGUGCACAGCGCUGCAGGACGAGAGAACCCAGCUGGCAGCUGCUGCACGUUUUCACAUACUUGUCACCCACUUCUCACUCUCUUAUUUCUUCCUUUGGAAAGUGCUCCUGCUUGCAAGCGACAUCCACCAGCAGAUGGAGAUCUAGGAAGAAAAGGAAAUAACGAGUAAACAUCAGUCUGCAAGUUUUGCUCAGCGUCACACGUAGGGAUUGCAGUUCUAGCAUGUAACGUGGAACACGGCCUGAGAGGCUGCAACAGCAGGAUUGGAGAUCUACAGGAACAGGAAUUGUUCUCAGUUUGCAAAACUCUGUGUAAAACAAAGAAGAAAAAAUAAAAGUGAUUUACAUGCCCAUUCAUGCCAUGGUAGAAUGGAAACAUUUCCAGUGUAUGGAAGAUAAAACUCAGCGCCUUACAGCUCAAGGAAAAGAACAACAGCAUGAAGUCACAACAGGACCACUACCCUCGUGAACUUCCAUCUCACAACAGCUGCAUUCUUGUCUUAGGAAAAGAAUUCCAGCCCCCUUGUUCUGUGCUACAAAGUACCUGUGGAAAAGGCAGCAGCUCUGUGCUUCCUCCAAAGCAGACUGCUGGGAGCAAACCCUGAAGAGCUGCCUGGAUGGAGAAGGAAGGCAGCUGGUAACAGCACAACUCCAAACUGCUUAAGAAACAGCAUCCAAGAACCACUCAUCCAAACCAGACUGGCAGUUGAGCUGGAGCAAGAAGCUGCAGUUCAGACUCCUGAGAGCACCUCCUGUUCAUCCUGCUCCAGGACAUGCUGCAGUGCCCCUGGGCCAGGCCUGGCCCUGCACAAACACCUCUGCAUGAUUUCACCUCGUCUUACUAGGAAUGCUGGAUGAGUGUAAGAUUAUUUUUCUCUGGAAGGUGCAGGAAAUAAUUCAGAUGAACAUGAUAGCAUGAUAGCAUGGGAGACCUUUGCUGAAUGAUGAUUUGCCCUUAGCAACUGCACUUACAAAUCUAUCUGCAGCAAAUGAGAGGGAAUGCAUAGUGGCACAGCUGUAGUGGCAAGGCUGGUGGUAAAUGUCCAGGGCACCUUGCAGCACAACAGGGAUGGAGUCAUCAGAGCCAGUGGCAUCUCAGUACUACGUCUGAGCUCCUGUGCAAAAACAGAUUGGAGGAAGUUGCCAGACUGUAUGAAGAAAAGGAUCAGAUAAGUCACCAAAAAUAAUACUUAAAAAAAAAAUAGCCGUAGAGGAAGAGAGCUUUUUCUUAAAUGCAUCCGGAUGCUUCAAUUCAGAAGUAACCCCACCUGCUCCAUUCUGAGACUGCUAUUUCCAGAAAAAAAGGCUGCAAACAAAAACCUCUCCAGUGAGAAUUUGAUCCUUCUUAUGUGCACUCUUAGAAGAGGAAACACAAAGCGCAGACACUAGCUCCACUGCAGAGUCACUGGGAGACUCUUGUGCACCUGUGGAGAGCAACAGGAGACAGGAGGGGUGCAGUUUCUAUCAGUCUCUGUCAGUCGUUUGUGAAGGCCAGAAGGACACCUGCUGCAGGUAUAGAUGCUGCAGACAAAUUUAUUCCACACUAAGCUGACUCACCUAUCCCAAAAACCCCAGUGUAUAGAUGAGCUGAACAAGCAGGCAGUCAAAACAAGGAGAGACUCGCUAUCAGCACCUUUAUAGCCCUGUGCUAAGGUUGAGCCAGGGGGGCUGAAAAAUGUGGUCCCCGAAAGGUGUGAGCCACCCCUCAGAGCUCCAUAAACCAAUAAUAAACCUGCCAGGUACUGCAGAGCCGUGCCAACACUCCAUGAAAGAGUAGGAAGGGAACAGAUGACACAGCCCACUCAGGAUGAUGGAUCUGCUGCAGCUUCUGACUCUCUGAAGGAGAAUUCAAAAGCAGUUCUGCUCUUAACAAAGGAGAUGAGGUCCUGCUGUUGGACUGUGAUGUGCAAAGACAACCAGCAUAUGAGGAGUAAGGAUACGCUUGGAGGAAACACAUUUAAAACAUUUUGAAACAAAAAAAAGAGCAGGGUACUUCACCCUCUGUGUAAUUACCCUGUGUUAAUUACUUUCACUUUCAUAGAACAAUAAAGCCUGAACAGCUUUGAGAAUUGACUAGAGAAUUUGAUGGAAGAAAAGCUCACAGAGGUCUUUUUUUUACUUAAUAGCACAAAGAUGUUUUUGGAGGCAGGACACAGGAUAAGAGACACUCUUCCUCUUCACCCCUGUUUGACAGACAUUCCUACCUCACCGUGUGAUACCUUGAACUUGGUGUCAGCACACAGCAGAGACAAGGGAACAAUGUCACAAACCUACUGAAAUAGAUGGAACGAGAUGGAAUGUUGUGCAGCAGGAUGCGUGUCAAACGGUGGGCUCAGGCAGCACACAAAUGGGCACCCAAAGGAAAAGAGGAAAACUGCAGGACUUUCACUCAAAGGACAUGUCUGAAGAUAAGAGGAAGCAGAGACAGCUGCUUUAAAACAGUUUUGGAUCACACACGAAAGACAGCAGUCACAAUCCAGUAAUACAGAAGGAAUUGCUUACCCCUUUCCAAGGACUCCAAAGGAGGUGAUCUCCAAGUAGAGAUUCCUCCUUUGAGACUGCCAGCCCAUAAAUGAGGUAGGGAGGGGUGCCCUACCUGUGCUCCCAGGGCUGGCUGUGCCCCUUCACCAGGUGCUCAACCACUGUUCAGGCCGUGACCUCACGCCUCCCACACAGACAUGUUGUGAAGAACCAGUUGGGAAUGGUCACUGUGCCCAUUUUUAGCUUAGAAAGGUAAAAGAGGAUGUGUCCAAAGACACACAGAAGAAAGGAGGUACAGACAGACAAACGCAGAAGCUGACAGAAGUCAGCUCACACUUGAACACGUCUCCUCCAGGCCUGCAGGUGGAACACAGGAGAUGGGCACUGCAUCUCCAAAGCCAUGAUCACGUGCCUUAUUUACUCCGGGACAACUGGACCCUGAUGGUGUUUGGUUCACGUGUGCUGUCUGUCUCCAUCCUCUGUCCUACCAGCCCUGAAAGGUACAACAGUGGAGAUGCACCCCCGAUGACUAUCAAGUUUCCCAGAGUGCUACUAUGCUAAUCACUGCUAAUUAUCCAAUUAGCAUAGCAAUGUUUCAUUUCUGUAGAACACUCCCAUGAAACACUUUCCAAACACUUUCCAAAACGU